UUCACUUUAAUUAUGUAUUAGAAAAUCAGUAAUCUUAAAUUAGGAUGCAUCAAUGGAGAAGAAGGCAAUUGUAAUCACAAUACAAUAAUAGAUCUACAAAUACCAAGCAAUACAUUAAAUCAAAAAUCUCAGUAACACUGUUAUUAUGUACUCCCUGUGGUCUUAUUAAUGUCAGCUUAUUAAUAGCUCGAUUACCAGUCAAAUAGUUUCGAUGUUUUCUAUACUAUGAAGAAAAUUUGAUCUGAUUAGAUUAAUUCAGAUGUAAAUUUAUGUUAUACGGUGAAUGUAUCGAGUCAUAUAUUAUGCAGAAUAUAUGGUAAACUAACUAAAAGUGCUAACAAAAUUUCUUAGGAAGUUAUCGAUAUACCUAAUUAUUAGAAGCUGUAACAAAUGUUCAAAGAGUCAGAGUAUACUUUAUUAGAAGUGUGUUAGAUAGAAUUAUACACUUUAAAGAAAAUAUCUUUUAUUAUUGCAGGUAAUGCAUAUUGUGUAAUGCAUAUAAUAUGUGAAAUCUAUUAUUACAUACAAAGAUUGAAAAUUAUUUAAACAGCUACCUGUAUGUUGUCUCACAAUCUCAUUUAGUGAAUGGGUUAUUAAAAAUUGAACAUAUUUACACACAGAAUAUUGUGGAUAUGGAUAUCUGGAAAGCAUGUUAUAACCAUUUUUAUUUUUAGGAUUUAUGA